rnacentral:tRNA from 1 species
AAGGUUAUAGUUUAUAAGAAAAACAUAUUGCUUACACCAAUGUAAAUCAUAUUUUUGAUGACCUUU